CGAAAAAGUUUAUUUGACACUUCUAGAGGUCUUCAUACGGUAGGAUUUUUGUUACGCACCCUGCCUUAGAAAUCAUGGAUUCCAAUAUGAUAAACACAGAACCUAGAAAUAUUGAAUCCAAAGAACAACGUAUAUCCUCCUCUGUCAUGAGGUUGGCCCAAGAAAGCUGUGAAGAUUCACCUGACAUGACGAUCAACAUUCAAGAUGCCCUUCAAAGAAUGAAGAAGAUCAAGGACAAGUUUCUGGAGAGCAUCUUGAGGGGCUGCUGACUGCAGCACUAUCCCUGACAUCAAGUUGAGAGUGUGCUCGAUUCGCUCCUCCAUAUCAAGGACAAGCUUGUUGAAGCAUAAGCUCGACCAUGUUUCGUAGCAUAUCACCUAGAUGAUAUGUACACUCUGAUGAUUGUUCUGCCCUAUCAAUCGAACUGUUGAUGAUCAGGGAACCAACUGGUUCUCAAGCAAAACAAAUGUGGUUUUGUUGAAGUAAUUUCUUGCUGUAAGAUUUAUUAUUUCAUUGUUUCAAUGUCCAAGAUAUCAGCUCGUAAUUGCCAAGCUAACUGGCAAGAGACUGGAAAGAGAACAUACACGUAUCUUCCUCUGCACUGCUCGGCCAAGACAAAGAAGCUUCCAACGGCGCAGCCACCGCUGCAGAUGAGCUGAUUCAACUUUCUGAUGUUACUUUUAAAAUGCACCAGCUCUGUAUUCUUGUCCUUAUCAUGGCGCGUAAGCAUUUUCAUACUCCUUAAUUUUUCUUCUUCUGUAGAAUUCAUGAUCACAAGUGGUGUUGAGAAUAAUUUCAACGGAAUACAAAUAUGGAUUGUUACCAGGCUGCUGAUGAGUAAGCUCGCAUAUGGAAUGAUAGGGGAUGGUGUUAAUGGUGUCCCCUGCUCUAGUGGUAGUCGAUAAUGGACCUGCGUUGCUAAUGCAGCCGGAAGUGCUUCUGAUGUUGUCCUCGCCGGAAGUGCUUCUGAUGUUGUCCUUCCUUUAGUGCGAUCAUAGUGUUUGCAGUCCAAAAUCCAAUAUGAUCCGGAUUUAAAAUA